GAUGAAGAACGCAGCGAAAUGCGAUAAGUAAUGUGAAUUGCAGAAUUCAGUGAAUCAUCGAGUCUUUGAACGCACAUUGCGCCCCCUGGUAUUCCGGGGGGCAUGCCUGUCCGAGCGUCAUUGCUGCCCUCAAGCACGGCUUGUGUGUUGGGCCCCCGUCCCCGGUUUCCCCCGGGGACGGGCCCGAAAGGCAGCGGCGGCACCGCGUCCGGUCCUCGAGCGUAUGGGGCUUUGUACCCGCUCUGUAGGCCCGGCCGGCGCCAGCCGACACCCAACUUUAUUUCUAAGGUUGACCUCGGAUCAGGUAGGGAUACCCGCUGAACUUAAGCAUAUCAAUAAGCGGAGGA
rnacentral:misc_RNA from 1 species